UACGGGGGGGGCAAGCGUUGUUCGGAAUUACUGGGCGUAAAGGGCGCGUAGGCGGCCUUCUAAGUCGGACGUGAAAUCCCUCGGCUCAACCGAGGAACUGCGUCUGAUACUGGAAGGCUUGAAUCCGGGAGAGGGAUGUGGAAUUCCUGGUGUAGCGGUGAAAUGCGCAGAUAUCGGGAGGAACACCAGUAGCGAAGGCGGCACUCUGGGCCGGUACUGACGCUGAGGAGCGAAAGCGUGGGGAGCGAACAGG
rnacentral:rRNA from 1 species